UGCUCCCCAGACAAAACAAGCCAUUCUAACUAAAUGAAAGGUAUUUAGGAAUAUAUUAAUAAUCAAGUAACAGUUCAGUAUUUUCAUUUUCUUAAUUCCUGGAGAACCCCUUUAAGUGGACCACAGAUAUGUAUGUGUAGAUCAGUGGAAGAUCCAGCUUAUCUUAGCUGCUAGUAUUAAAGGGUUUGUCUAAAGCAAAAAAAAUAAUUAAUGCGCACUGGGAGAGUGAGGGCCCUCACCUAUUGAAAGCCACUGCAUUCCAGCAGCGCGGCUCCCCAGUGGACCAGAAGUGUAAUACUCAGGCCAUUUUUUAUUUUUUUCAUUACCCCACCACCACGACCAGUGAACAGAAAAAUACUUACCUGCUCCCUGCUGUUUUGUGUGGGCUCUGUGGCUCAUAGUUAAUAUGGUUGAAAAAAAAAGACAUAAGUCCAUCAAGUUCAACCAAGGGAAGGUCGGAUGUGAAUUUUAGAAAAGGGAGCAAGACCCAGACUUUUACACAUUUUUAAAAGGGUUUUCUGAGACUUUAUCCAGAGGAUAGGUCAUAAGUAUUAGGGGAAGGUGGGACUCC